UGGUAUUUGAGUUUACUCGGAAGAUUAUGAAGGGAGGAGCCCAUGGAGGUGACCCACCAGCUCUACCCAGCUUGCGUGCGCUACACUGAGCAGCCAGACUCUAGGUCCUCCUCUGGAAGCAGGAAGCAGGCACCUGUCUAUCCCCAGGGGACAGAGGACCCUGGUGACCUGCUGCCAUGACAAGCUGAGAUGAGUUCUCCCUGGACUUCACACACAGUGCCUCAAAAAUGUUAAGAAUAGCAAA